UGGCUCCGGUCCCCCACUCCUCCCGCGACCCGCAACCCUCCUCCAGGACCAGGAGCCCAGAUCAUGCCGCCGCUGCUGGUUGAGGGCAUCGUCUGGCCAGGGAUGGGACCUCCAGGACGAGGCCCUCUCUGGCCUCCAAGGCUUGCCUGCUCCUCUCGAAAGCUCCGUGCCAACAGAGAGGUUCCUGUCCAGACCCAGGACAGUGCAAUGGAGAGGUUGAGACUGAGUGCAUUUGCCCCGCUCCCCAAAGGGAGAAGGCUGGGGCAUCUGAAAACCUCACCCGCCUGCAGCUCGCACAAAUGGCCUUGCCUUGGCUUCUGACCUUUUGCCGUUGCGAUGGAUGUUUACAGGAACCAGCCAGAGUCUGCCUCCCUGCUUUUCACCCCCCGACUGCACCUGCUUCCCCCACUUAACCUUCAAGAGGACACUUCAAACCACAGACACACACAUCCAGCUGAUGCCCGUGGAGCCCUGAGCCCGCUGGGUUUGGACCAGGCUGGUCUUAGAUGCAGUGACUGUUUCUGGGAGUGGCUCAGGAGAAGAGGCGAGGACCGUGUUGGGGACUGAGGGUAGGAUUUUGACUUACUCAUUUCAAGCUGCUUGUUCAUCAAGUUGCCAGAACUGAUCCAUCGUGCCGGGGAAGGGCCACAUUUGCUCUUCUGGCCAGAAAUAUUUUUAGAAAAUGCGAGUGGUAUGAAUACUUGACUUCGAUAAACUUGUAAAAGCAAUACUUAGGAGGCUGACCUCUCAAUUAAAAAAAUGUAUGCAACUCCAACAUAACAUGGCUUUGUGUUAAUAACAAAGGUGCCCCUCCAGGCCCACCUCUGGGGGCCCUGCCCUUUUUUUUUUUUUUUUUUCUCUUUGAGAUUGGGGAAAGGCAUCCAUAAACAGAAAACCUCAUGGUUGACCAAAGGCGGAGGAAGAGUCAGGGCCUCCCAAGUUGGAGGUCCAGCCGUUUUGGGGGAGCAACCAAGCUGGCUGGCCUGGACCAGCCUCCCUCCUGACUUCCACAAGCCUGACAAGCCAGGGCCAGCCUUUUGGGGUGUGGUGGCAAAGGCCUGCUGGCUGAGCUGGAAAUCAGGCCCAAAUUUCAGAGAAGUCAGAGGUGUGGUACCCCCAGGCUGGGCUCAUGGUAGACUCCAGUAAAAAUGAGGGAGGGAGGGAAGGAACAAACCAAUGAGUGAAACUGGGUCCACUUGAAGUUUCAUGAAAAGAAAAUAGCAUCAUUCUCUCUACUUUGCCGAGUACCUACUGCUUUUCAAAGCACCUUCACAUGUACACCACAUUAAACCAGGUACAGACAGUUCCGUCCUACAGGUGAGAUGUGCGUGGGGGACAAAGGUCUGGCAGGAGUCAAGAAAUGGGGAUAGAAGACAUUCGAGAGGCCCGAGGUGAGUGUGAGAAGGG